UAACUGUCAUGGCUGUAAUUUGGUACAAAGGAAACUGACUCGUUAAUUCUCAACAAACUGAAAGCAUCUUGAGAUAAGAUCCUGUCAUCCCUGGAUUCCUCACCUUACCCAGAGCCCAACAGAGCUCCUGGAAUGAUGUUCGGAUUGCCCAGAAAGGAGUCCUUCAGGCUCUGGCAGGCAAGGAAAUGUUCCAAGGCCAGCACUACAAAAGAAUUCUGAAAUCUGGAGAGUCUUGAAUUUCACUCCCUUGUCGGAACCACUUGACCUGCAAAGGGGGUGCUCCUCGGACCCGGCACUCCAGGACGACCACCUGACCCUCGGAUGCUGCUAUGUUUUGCAGUUCCUAAAA